rnacentral:rRNA from 1 species
UACGUAGGUGGCGAGCGUUGUCCGGAUUUACUGGGCGUAAAGAGCGCGCAGGCGGUCGUUCAAGUCGCGUGUGAAAGCCCCCGGCUCAACUGGGGAGGGUCACGCGAUACUGAUCGACUCGAAGGCAGGAGAGGGAAGUGGAAUUCCCGGUGUAGUGGUGAAAUGCGUAGAUAUCGGGAGGAACACCAGUGGCGAAGGCGGCUUGCCAGAACGCGCUCGACGGUGAGGGAUGAAAGCUGGGGGAGCAAACCGG